UACGAAGGGGGCUAGCGUUGCUCGGAAUUACUGGGCGUAAAGGGCGCGUAGGCGGCACUGUUAGUCAGGCGUGAAAUUCCUGGGCUCAACCUGGGGGACUGCGCUUGAUACGGCAGAGCUAGAGGAUGGAAGAGGCUCGCGGAAUUCCCAGUGUAGAGGUGAAAUUCGUAGAUAUUGGGAGGAACACCAGUGGCGAAGGCGCUCACUGGACCGGUACUGACGCUGAUGCGCGAAACGUGGGGACAAACGGG
rnacentral:rRNA from 1 species